ACUCUGGAGUGAAAAACCUCAGUGAUCUACUGAUGAACACACAAUGCAAGCUGGAGAAACUAGAUCUGUGUAGAUGCAGUAUUACAGAGAAACAGUGUCUCAUCCUGACUUCAGCUCUGAAAUCAAACCCAUCACACCUGAGAGAACUGAAGCUGAGCUGGAAUAAACUAGGAGACUCUGGAGUGAAAAACCUCAGUGAUCUACUGAUGAACACACAAUGCAAGCUGGAGAAACUAGAGUUAAGAUACUGUGAUAUGACAGAUGAAGAUUGUUCUGCUCUGACUUCAGCUCUGAAAUCAAACCCAUCACACCUGAGAGAACUGGAGCUGAGCUGGAAUCAGAUAAAAAACACAGGAGUGAAUCACUUAUGUGACGUACUGAAGGAGUCACACUGUAAACUGGAGAG